rnacentral:rRNA from 1 species
GUAACAGGGGUAGCUUGCUACCCGCUGACGAGCGGCGGACGGGUGAGUAAUGCAUGGGUAUCUGCCCGGUAGUGGGGGAUAACUCGGGGAAACCCGAGCUAAUACCGCAUACGUCCUACGGGAGAAAGCAGGGGAUCUUCGGACCUUGCGCUAUCGGAUGAGCCCAUGUCGGAUUAGCUUGUUGGUGAGGUAACGGCUCACCAAGGCAACGAUCCGUAGCUGGUCUGAGAGGAUGAUCAGCCACACCGGGACUGAGACACGGCCCGGACUCCUACGGGAGGCAGCAGUGGGGAAUAUUGGACAAUGGGGGAAACCCUGAUCCAGCCAUGCCGCGUGUGUGAAGAAGGACUUCGGGUUGUAAAGCACUUUCAGUGGGGAAGAAGGCAUGGUGGAUAAUAACCACCAUGAAGGACAUCACCCACAGAAGAAGCACCGGCUAACUCCGUGCCA